AUUUUAAUUAAGGUAAAGGUGUACAGGACAAUGACCUAUGAAUUGACAGCCAGUGCAAUUACAGAUUUGCCUGUCAGUUCCAUAGGCCACUAUUUUGUUCACCACAAUAUUGCAAAAAGUUC
rnacentral:pre_miRNA from 17 species